CGACAUUUCGCCGAGCAAUGCCUCACUGAUCAUCGGAUCCUGGUGCGACUGCUCGUUCUUGGAGUUCUCCCAAGUAUGGGAGGUUACGACGAGGGGGACCGAAAUCCAGCCGGGUUCCUGGCCGAGCUCGCGCUGCCGCCGGGCGAAGACGAUCUCCUGGCGCAGACCGCCGAGCAUCUUCAUGGCGAAAGCUUCGUAGCUGACAAUCAGGUUGAUCCCGCCCUUGUUGGCAAGCGCCGCACCCGCCACUGCUUCCUCGUUCAGCGCGGU
rnacentral:misc_RNA from 1 species